rnacentral:rRNA from 1 species
AGCUCCAAUAGCGUAUAUUAAAGUUGUUGCAGUUAAAAAGCUCGUAGUUGAACCUUGGGCUUGGUUGCCCGGUCCGCUUUUUUGGCGAGUACUGGACGCAACCGAGCCUUUCCUCCUGGCUAACCUUUCGCCCUUGUGGUGAUUGGCGAACCAGGACUUUUACUUUGAGAAAAUUAGAGUGUUCAAAGCAGGCGUUAGCUCGAAUAUGUUAGCAUGGAAUAAUAGAAUAGGACGUAUGGUUCUAUUUUGUUGGUUUCUAGGACCAUCGUAAUGAUUAAUAGGGACGGUCGGGGGCAUCAGUAUUCAGUUGUCAGAGGUGAAAUUCUUGGAUUUACUGAAGACUAACAACUGCGAAAGCAUUUGCCAAGGACGUUCCCA